GGGCCCGCACAAGCGGUGGAGCAUGUGGUUUAAUUCGAUGCAACGCGAAGAACCUUACCAGGGUUUGACAUAGUACGAAGUUUUUUGAAAAAAAAGUCAACCUCGGAACGUACAUACAGGUGGUGCAUGGCUGUCGUCAGCUCGUGUCGUGAGAUGUUGGGUUAAGUCCCGCAACGAGCGUAACCCUUGUUUUUUAGUUGCCUUUCGAGGAUAUUUAGAAAGACUGCCGGUUAUAAACCGGAGGAAGGUGGGGAUGACGUCAAGUCAGCAUGCCCCUUACACCUGGGCUACACACGUGCUACAUUGGGCGAGACAAUGAGAUGCAAAUCUGUGAAGACUAGCU
rnacentral:rRNA from 1 species